CCCUUAGAUGUUCUGGGCCGCACGCGCGCUACACUGAUGCAUUCAACGAGUCUAAAACCUGCUCUGAUAGGGGUGGGUAAUCUUUUGAAUGUGCAUCGUGAUUGGGAUAGAUGAUUGCAAUUUUUCAUCUUCAACGAGGAAUGCCUAGUAAACGCAAGUCAUCAGCUUGCAUUGAUUACGUCCCUGCCCUUUGUACACACCGCCCGUCGCUCCUACCGAUUGAAUGAUCCGAUGAAUAUCAUGGAUUGAGGAUGCAAGUAGGUUAGCCUAUCUUCAUCUUCGAGAAGUGAUGUAAAUCUUAUCAUUUAGAGGAAGGAGAAGUCGUAACA
rnacentral:rRNA from 1 species